rnacentral:rRNA from 1 species
UACGGAGGGUGCAAGCGUUAUCCGGAUUCACUGGGUUUAAAGGGUGCGUAGGUGGCUAUUUAAGUCAGUGGUGAAAGCCCCGCGGCUCAACCGUGGAAUUGCCAUUGAAACUGAAUAGCUUGAGUACAGUUGAAGUGGGCGGAAUACAUCAUGUAGCGGUGAAAUGCUUAGAUAUGAUGUAGAACACCGAUUGCGAAGGCAGCUCACUAAGCUGUA